rnacentral:rRNA from 1 species
AUGACCGGGCAGCUACCCGAGGACAUGCUCCUGGACGUCCUCCGCCGCCUCUCUCCCCGCAGCCUCGCGGCAUGCCGCUGCGUCCGUAAGGAAUGGCGCGUCGCCGUCGACUGCCACCGCCUACUGCGCAUGGACCUUCUCCCGCUCUCGCUCGACGGCGUCUUCCUCGAGCUGCAUGACCCAGACCUGCCUCUCGAGAGAAUGGAGCAUCCCAUGCCUGCGCUCUUCUCACGCCGCACCAUGGCACGCCGGAUCGCCGCCAGCCUUGGCUACUCGGAGCGGACACCCCCUCCAUAUAUGAGUGCGGCAUGCAGGACUGCUGCAACGGGCUCCUCCUCUUGCUCUGCGACCAUGUGGUCAAUCCCGCCACCACUACAAGAAAUAUGUCAACUUGUGACCACCACUAUUGGUCACUGA